CACUUGAGUGUUUUUGUAUCAGAGAGGAGACAGGGUUGCAGUUAGAGGAUAUUGUGGUGACAUUGUCUCCAGUCCAUACCUGUCCUUCGGCAUAGAGACGGACAACAAAGAGCUGCUGAAGAAAGAGAAUAAUCAACAUGUAAAGACAGUCCCAUAACAGCAGAGAGGACACAAACUAUUCAAACAGCUUCUCAAACUCACACAGAACUUGAGCAAGAGCCAACAGUCACCACAUCCGCUUGAUUUGAUGAAAGUGAACGGAAAGUGUUUCUGUCUCCAGAUUCUCUCACAAAACUCCCUCUUAUAAGCAAAUAGGAACUUGUUUAACACAAUCUUCUGUUCAUGCAGGUAAAGUAUCAAACAGGUUUGUCCAUCAAAUACAGUAGAUAUCAUACAGAAUCUGUGAUAUUGAAUAUAAUAUAAAAGUGAGCAGAUGUCUCUGUUGAGAACUGUGUAAGUAAAGGUGUGAAUCUCACACAUCCUGCCCUGUUCACAUUUCACCCCAAAACCAAAUGCAAAUAAAAAAGUAAAAAUAAGAAUUCAUAUUUUGCAUAUAGAAAAUGCAGUGUUCUAUUAGAACCCUUUAUGAUAUUUAUAUAUUACACAUUGUGACAUCAAGCACAUUUUAUCACACAAUGGCCAUGGCUAUAAUAUGAAAUACAGAGUAUCAUUCUCUUAACGGUUAUGCAUCUGG